UUCUAGAAAAGACAAAACUAUAAAGACAGAUCAGUGGUUCCCAAGGCCUAAGUGGCGGUCGUGGUAAAGAAUAUGCCCGCCAAUGCAGGAAACGAAAGAUGUGGGUUCGAUCCCUGAUCCCUGGGUCAGGGAGAUCCUGCAGAGGAGGGCAUAGAAACCCACUCCAGUAUUCUUGCCUGGAAAAUCCCAUGGACAGAGAAACCUGGCAGGUCAGAAAGCAUGCAUGCAGUGGGGAGGGAUGAAUGGAUGAAUUUGCAGGGAACAGGGGGCUCUUUAGGGCAGUGAAACUACUCUGUAUGACACUACAAUGGUGGAUACCUGUCAUUAUACAUGUGUCAAAACCCAUAGACCUUACAAUACCAAGAAUGAGCCCUUAUGUAAACUGUGGCAUGGGUGAUGAUGUGUCAAUGUAACAAAUACAUUGCUCUGGUGUGGGCUGUUGGUAGUUGGAGAAGCUGUGUGUUGAGGGCCCAGGAUGUAAAGGAGCUUUACUUUUCACUCAAUUUUAUUGUGAACCUAAAACUGGUCUAAAAAAUAGUUUAUCAUUUAAAAAGUAAGUAGUAUGUUGCACUGUUCACCUGUCUGUUCUGGCCAGUGCCAUGCAUUUGCAAAACAGUAGAACAGAAAUCCAGGAAUAACACUCCUUCUCUUGUUGCCCUCAAAACACUUUCCAACUUAUCAUAGUCUCAUGAUCUGCCCAAGUAGUGAAAAUACUUUUGUAUAUGUAUUUUCCUGGGUCUCUCACUUUGUCAAACCAGGUAGGACUAGUGAAUUCCAGGAUUACCAGUCCAUUGUUCCUUUAGUUUUUCUUUUUUAUUCUAAAACAGGUUCUGAAUUAAUUUGUACCAGUUUGUGUUCCCUGAAAGAGAUUAGGUGUUAACCAAAACCAUUAAUUAUACUCGGAUCCUUAAGACAGCCAGUGUGGAAUUGAGCGCUAUGUUCUAGGCCCCUUUGGCUCAAGCCUUUGAUUUUAUUUUUUGGCAUUUGUCAAAGCUUGUGUGCACCUUUUCCAAACAACAUACAGAAAUGUUAAAUAUCUCUAUUCAUUGUUCCAGGAAAGGCCAGCUUUUCAUGCCAAACUCUAGCAUAGGAGCAAAUUUAAAACAAUAGUAACCUUUUCCUGGAAAAGAUAAAUUAUCUUCUUUAAAGACUUAGUAUUAUGAGAAGUUUUUCCAAAUAUUUUUGGCAGUAGUUAAGCACUCCCACAUGCUGUAAUAGUCCUUUCCUUUCUAAGGCAAAACUCAGAAGUUCAGCACUUCCGAAGUAUUAGAGUUCAAAGAACAAAUCCCUGCCGCUAACAGUGUAUUUUUUAGAAAACUAGAAGCAUAUCUAUAAAAAUAAAUACUCCUGAACAACCCAACAUUUGUUUGUUCUGCCAGAGUUCAUAUGGUCAUUCCUAAAACAAGGUACUGUCCUGACAGUUGUGCAGAUUAUAUGAAACCCAUAGUCUUAUCAUUUUGGCAUCACAGUUUAAAUGGUCCAGUUAGACAAUACAUCAAAAAGACUUCUAAAAGUCAAGAUCUUUAUUUGUUUAACAAAUAGUUUUUGAGGAUCAACCUUGUGCCAGAUCCUAUUCCAAGUGCUUAAGAUACAUCACUGAAUAAAACAAACCAUUGUUCUCAUGGAACUUACUAUGGGGGAAUAGAGGGAGAAGAGAGAAUACAUAUAAAAAAAUAAUAAGAACAGUAAGAUGAUGAAAUAUAAAGAGAGGGAGCAUGUGUUAGGCCUCAAGAAAAUACUGAAGACUUGAAGGAGCUAAGGGAGCAAACUGGAUAUUUAGGCAAGAGUUUCCAGGGAGUGGAAACAGCAAGUCCAAAGGUACUCAUGUAGAAGCAUGACUGGCACCUGAAGAGUAGCUCAGGAAACCAGUGUGGCUGAAACAGUGAGCAAAGCAGUAUAGAAGAUGAUGGAUGUCAGAGAGGUAAGGGGAGUGAGAGGCAGAUCUGUAGAAUCUGGUGGGCCAAAGUGGGAAGGCUUUGGCUUUUAAUUGGUGUGGAGCUGUUACAUGAUAUGACUUAGGUUUUGAGAAGUACUGAGAGUAAAAGAUCAAGGAUAGAAGCAGAAGUCUAGAAAGGAGGCUCUUUCAGUAAUCCAAAUGAAACAGGUGAACUUCAAUGAUUAAGGGAUCCUGAAUAGAAUUUUUUGAAGGCAAAUCCAAGAGGGUUUUUUGAUGGGUUGAAUAUACAGUUAAUAGAAGGGGGAGUCAAGGAUGAGCCUGAGGUUUUUAACCUGGGCAACUAGAAAGACUGAGUUGCAACCAUCUGAAAUGGGAAGCACUAGAUAGAACAGUUUUCCAGCGGAAUAUUAAGAGUUCAGUUUGGGACAUGUUCAACUUGAAAUUUAUUAAAUAUUUAAAUGGAGACAUUAGGUAGCUGUUGGAUAUGUCUAGUUCAGGAGGAAAUUCUGAAGAUAUAUUAUUAUUUUAAAAUGCAUAAUCUGUGUCUGUGAGUGUAUUUGGGAGUUGUCAGCAUAUAAAUGGCACUUAAAGUCUGAAACUUAAUGACAUCUCCAAGGGAAUAAGUGUAGAUACAGAAGGAAAGAGAACCAGGAAAGCCCUGAGACAUUUCUCACUUAAAAGGUCUCAGAAGAAAAUAACUUGCAGAGCAACUGUGUAGGAACAAACCAGUUAGGUAGGAGGAAAACCAAGAGAUGAGUGGUGUUCUGGAAGUUAGGUGAAGAAAAUAUCUGAAGGAGGAGGAAGUGAUCAACUGUGGAAUGCUGCCGAGACGUUAAGGUGAGGCCUGAGAACUGACCCUUGGAGCAACAUGGAGAUCAAUGGUGAUCUUGGCAAGAGCGGUUUUGGUGGAGCAGAGGGGGCAAAAGCAUGACUGGACUGGGUUGCAGAAAAAAAAAGUUAGUAUGUGAAGUCUGACCUUUGGAAAAUACUACAGUGGAGAGUACUACAGUGGAGUGGAUUUGGAGAGAGAGAGAUUCUAGGGACUAUGAUGGUACAAAGUAGUGUUAAUUUCAAAGAUUCCUGGAUCAGUUCAAGAAUCAGAAAUUCAAAAUCUUUAGACUUCUGGAAGAAUUGUUACACUCUCAAGAUGUAGUCUGCUGCUUGCCUCAUAUCUGUUCCAUAAUAAUCUGAAUAAUAGACAAUUUCUAUGGGAAAGAAUACUACCCAACAAAAUCUGAAAAUUCAGAACUUGGAAUUUGGUCAUUACUUAGAAGAAUUUGGUUAGUAGGACAAAGACUAGCAGAGAUUUUCCUGUCGUUUAUAUAAGCACUGAUGCUCACCAGUGGUCUGAGGCAAUUCAGCCAGCCACACAGUGCUUAGAAAUGCAACAAGGCAGACUUUACCCUGGUUUCUUAAGUGUGUACUUCAAUAAUUACCAAUGAUUUUGCAGCUUUUGUAGGAUUUCCUAUAAAAGUAUUCGAACAAUGAUGACAAACUGACUCCAUCACAAGACUGGUAAUGCCCUAGAAAUUAAGUGCCCAGAAAUUUCCUUUUUUUUUUUUUUUUUGGUUGCACUGGCUCUUCUUUGCUGCACCAGGGGUUUCUCUAGUUGCGGUGAGAGAGGGCUACUCUUCAUUGCAGUGCAUGGGCUUCUUAUUGCAGUGGCUUCUCUUGUUGCAGAGUUCAGGUUCUGAAGUGGGAAGCCUUCCGUAGUUGUGGUGCACAGGCAUUCAUUGUUCUGCAGCAUGUGGAAUCUACCUGGAUCAGGGAUCGAACACAUGUCCCCUGCACUGGCAGGUGAAUUCCCAUCCACUGUACCACCAGGAAAGUCCCAGAAGUUUCCUUUUAGUGCAUUGGGUCCUAGUCACGACAUGUGGGAUCUAGUUCCCUGACCAGGAAUUUAACCUCCGGCCCCCUGCAUUCAGAGCUUGGAAUCUUAGCCACUGGACCACCAGAGAAGUCCCUAUAUCUCAUCUCUUUGAAAAAGCGUGAACUUCCUGACUCAGAGAUCAAACCCGGGUCUCCUGCAUUGCUGGCAGAUUCUUCACUAACUGAGCUACCUUAGCAUCUGUUAUAUUGGAGAAACUGAAACUAUUGGUGCAAAUAUCAUGCUGGGUGUUUCUAACCAUUGGGUAUAGUUCUGCCUUUUGCAGAAAUAUAAACCAGUUUGUGUGUGUGUGUGUGAGUGACAAGACAUCUGAAUACUUAAAUUUACUUAACUUCAUGUGAAACAUUCCUAGUUCAUUUUUUCUGCAUCUGUUCAAUAAAUACUUAUUUGACUUACAAAUUAGAGAAUAGGAGUUUGCUGCAAAAGGAAAGAAGAAAAAUGGAGUGGUCACUGGUAAGGUGUGAGUAGCUGGGGGAAGUGGGAUUGAGAGAAGUUUGUUUUUAAGCCAGAAGAAAUUACAAUACUUUUUUUUUGAAACAACACUUUAUCUUUUUUUGAUACAUGAGAGAAUGGCAGUGUGUGAGAGUUGACUGGAUACAUGUCCUGAAGUAGGAGAGAGGAGCUGCCUAUGUGAAGGAAUUGACUGUAGAUGGGAGUAUAAAAGAAUUGAUCUAGUGAAAGACCAGAGGGUGGAAUGUGUGGGAGCAAAUACUGGCGAGCAGACGUGGUUGAGCACACCUAUACAAGAAAUGCCACUACAGUACUAAGAAACAGUGUCAAGUAAGUUAUCUGUGCUUCAUUUUUCCAGCUGAAGAUGGAAAUGAUGAUACAGUACAUCCAUUCAAAUGUUUUGGAUUUACUUUCUAUAGUCUUAGGCAAAUCACAAACAUUUUUGGCAGGCUCUUCGUGUGUUUUAUUUUCCACUGAAUGGUCAUUGUCUAAAAGUGUCUGGCAAACAGUAGCCAUUCAAUAAAUAUUCAUUGAAUUAAUUUUUGGAAAUGAAGCUGUUAAAUAACUAUAUUAUGCAUGCCAUACUCACCCACAGUGUUGUUCUGAAGACCCAGUGAAAGGAGAGAAUGGAUGUAAAAGUGCUUUGUAAUCUGAGAAAUGCUACUGAAAUCUAAGAUAUUAUACUAGGGAGACUUGGACUAAAGUCCACUGAGUUUUUGACUUCUUAAAUGAGAAAUACAAUAUAAAUAGGAAACAGAGUCACAGUUAAGUUGGAUUUUUUCCCCCCUCUUUGAGGACUGUACCAAUACCUAAAGAUUCUGUCAACUGGUUUAAAAUUCAAAGAUGGAAUACAACAUUACACAAAAUAGGAUUUGAUCCUCUAAACCAUGUAACAUUACAGAACUGACAAAAAUACACAAAAGCCAGAAAACCAAAGCCAUCUAAGUCAAUUAGCUUUAUGUGAAUGUCGUAAAGUAAGUUCCAAGUUAUAUUUACAAUACUGGGCACUUGAGUGGUAUAAUACCUCUAUUUUUCUUUUCCUUCUUCCUGUCUUUGUUUUAUUUUCUGGUAGUUUAUAAUUUCCAAAGUAAAUACAGUACUGGAGUUGUGGAUUUACUUUUCUUAGUAACAGAAUAAAGAUUUAAACUUAAUGAUAUUUCUGCUGAGGAUUUCUUAUCGUACCCUAAGUACACCAGAUUAGUUUCAUGAUAAGUCUUUAAGGUCUUUCCACAUGUUAUAAGAUUGAUCUGGACCAAAAUUCUAACUGGAAAAAAUAAGAACAACAACAACAAAAUCCCAUUCGGUGCAGUUCCAUAUUUUUAUCAUUCCAGGGACUAAAAAUAUACUUAAUUGCUAGAGUUUGAAAGCAGUUUCCUAUAUGCUGAAGUUUUAUUCCUCGGAGAUGCCCUAAUCUUUGUUCCUGAUGGAAUACCUGCAGGAGAGUGAAUCAGUUCAUGCCAUCGUUUUCAGUUUUUUAUCAUCACUGGUGAUUAGAUAUUACAUAAUUAACAAAGGUCAUAUAAGAGGAUUCAGCGGAGCACUUUGGAUUAAAUUUAGAAAUUAGCCAUUAGGAACUCAUUGGGAUUCCCAGUAGUGUUUUAAAGUAUCACAGUAUGGGGAUGCUUAAUUAGACUACUAGCUUAGUUCCUGCUGUUACCCAGGCUUUUGGGAUUACUUAGAAAAAAUGCUCAGUUCUCAGAAAAUCUCAGAAGUCAAGCUCAGGCUGAGGAAAAUAUUUGCUGAGUAAUACAAUUCAGUCCCCUUCCUUGUAAAGACGGAAGUGCCAUAUGUGUUUUUCUAAUUAGCCCCACCAGAUUUCUUCCAGGCGUGAUUAUGUGUCAUGAAGCUAACCAUUCUGCCUCUGAGGAUUUAUGCAUUCUUGGGGAAAUUUCUCUAGACCAUCUGAUGUGAUAGUCUGCCCAGACAGGUUUCAUGUGGCCCCGUUCUUAGUCACGUUGAAGGACUGUGCCACCUGGCCUUAACCUACUUUUUCCCUCUGCCUUCUCAGUAAACAACAACAGUGGUGACACCCACAAAAAUAUAUCUGCCCUCACAGUAACACCAGUCCAUCUUGCAUCUUCCACAGGACACCUUUUAAUCUGUAGGAUUUUACAGCCCUUUGCAAAUAUUAAUUAUACUUCCUAAAUACCUCAUACUAGGCUGCAAACCUCACUAGCCACAUUUUAUGAUUAGACCUCACCAAAAUGAAGAGAUGGAAGCUCUUCUUCAGCCCCCUCAGAACGAGUACAAAUCUGGGU